AGAGUUUGAUCCUGGCUCAGAACGAACGCUGGCGGCAUGCCUAACACAUGCAAGUCGAACGCCUGUAGCAAUACAGGAGUGGCGCACGGGUGAGUAACGCGUGGGAACCUGCCCUGGAGUGGGGGAUAACCGAGAGAAAUUUCGGCUAAUACCGCAUACGACCUGAGGGUGAAAGAUUUAUCGCUCUAGGAGGGGCCCGCGUCGGAUUAGCUAGUUGGUGGGGUAAUGGCCUACCAAGGCAACGAUCCGUAGCUGGUCUGAGAGGAUGAUCAGCCACACUGGGACUGAGACACGGCCCAGACUCCUACGGGAGGCAGCAGUGGGGAAUAUUGGACAAUGGGGGCAACCCUGAUCCAGCAAUGCCGCGUGAGUGAUGAAGGCCUUAGGGUUGUAAAGCUCUUUCGGCGGGGGAGGAAGGUCUGGUGUAUAGCCAGGCUUGACCGAUCCUAGGAGGAAGGGCCGGCUAAUCUCGUGCCAGCCGCCGCGGUAAUAC
rnacentral:rRNA from 1 species